UCCCAGCUCCACCAACGACUGCUGCUGUGACAUAAAAUAAGAAGCUGAAAAUUUUAUUUUUAAACAAUGUUCCGUGGAACAAAGGAAUCUUCAAGUUGAAAAUAGUACAAUAGAGACCGUUACCAACCUUUUGCAGCAACUGUAUUCUGUGAGAGGAUAGACAAAAGAAGAUGCAGUUCUUAAGAAGAACAUGUGACCCCCUAAGAGUAUAAAGGCUCCUGGAUACAGAGAAUGAGAAACUGCCCAGCCCAAAGUGCUCUCUUCUCCUGUUUCAGAGAGUGUUGUAAGAGUGAGCAAGAGAAAUAUAAAAUAGAAAUUUUGGACGCCUCUAAGUAUUUCUGGGGAUAAAGACCAGACUGACUGCUUUCUCUGACUGCUGUAGAUCCACACAUUAAGAUAU